UUAUGAUAAACUCAAAAAGAUAGAACUCAAGUGAUGAAAGGCCAGGGUCACACGUAUUGAUAGUAAGGAAAGACAAAAAAAACUGAUUUAUAAAACCACCCUAAAAAGGGUGAUAUGAUAAAUUAGUCUAUAUUCAUACAAGCAAAACAGGCUCAAAGCUAGAUCCUUCAUAUCAAAUUUUCUGUUGCAAGUACUUACAGGAGGAAAACAUCCUUUUUGCCGAUCCCAAUUCCGAAGUCAAUGAUCUAUUGUCUUUGAGUCGAGGGUCUCCCGAAAAUAGCCUCUCUAUCCCUCGGGAUAGAGGUAAGGUCUGCGUACAUUUUACCCUCCCCAUGCCCCACUAGUGGGAUUCUACUGGGUUGUUGUUGUUGUUAUUACGUCCAAAGUCCAUUAUCUUAACGUGGUGUUGAAAGUCGGGGCCCAUGUGUUGUUAGUUCACAUUCCAAAUGUCCAGCCUCGAGCAUCCGGGAGGGUAAAAUUCCACAUCAGUUAAGUGUAGGGGUUGUAAUCUCGUUAUAUGGUCUUUGAUAAUAUUUUCCAGUUAGCUAGCAUAUGAGAUUGGAUUAGGUCCAAGGUCCAUUUAGUUGUGUAACCAAAGAUGGAAGCAAUCAAUAAAUGAAGAUGUGUGCCAUUAAAAUGGAAGAUGUGCUGAUUAAUUA